UACGGGGGGAGCAAGCGUUGUUCGGAUUUACUGGGCGUAAAGGGCGCGUAGGCGGCCACCGCAGGUCGGUUGUGAAAUCUCUGGGCUUAACUCAGAAAGGUCAACCGAUACUGCGGGGCUAGAGUGCAGAAGGGGCAACUGGAAUUCUUGGUGUAGCGGUGAAAUGCGUAGAUAUCAAGAGGAACACCUGCGGCGAAGGCGGGUUGCUGGGCCGACACUGACGCUGAGGCGCGAAAGCCAGGGGAGCGAACGGG
rnacentral:rRNA from 1 species